AACGAACGCUGGCGGCAUGCCUAACACAUGCAAGUCGAACGAGACCUUCGGGUCUAGUGGCGCACGGGUGCGUAACGCGUGGGAACCUGCCUUUAGGUUCGGAAUAACUCAGAGAAAUUUGAGCUAAUACCGGAUGAUGUCUUCGGACCAAAGAUUUAUCGCCUUUAGAUGGGCCCGCGUUGGAUUAGCUAGUUGGUGGGGUAAAGGCCUACCAAGGCGACGAUCCAUAGCUGGUCUGAGAGGAAGAUCAGCCACACUGGGACUGAGACACGGCCCAGACUCCUACGGGAGGCAGCAGUGGGGAAUAUUGGACAAUGGGCGAAAGCCUGAUCCAGCAAUGCCGCGUGAGUGAUGAAGGCCUUAGGGUUGUAAAGCUCUUUUACCCGAGAUGAUAAUGACAGUAUCGGGAGAAUAAGCUCCGGCUAACUCCGUG
rnacentral:rRNA from 1 species